rnacentral:rRNA from 1 species
UACGUAGGGUGCGAGCGUUGUCCGGAAUUAUUGGGCGUAAAGAGCUUGUAGGCGGUUUGUCGCGUCUGCCGUGAAAGCCCAGGGCUUAACCCUGGGUCUGCGGUGGGUACGGGCAGACUAGAGUGUGGUAGGGGAGACUGGAAUUCCUGGUGUAGCGGUGAAAUGCGCAGAUAUCAGGAGGAACACCGGUGGCGAAGGCGGGUCUCUGGGCCGUAACUGACGCUGAGGAGCGAAAGCGUGGGGAGCGGACAGG